rnacentral:rRNA from 1 species
AAAGUCCGUAACAAGGUUUCCGUAGGUGAACCUGCGGAAGGAUCAUUACCGAGUGAGGGCCCUCUGGGUCCAACCUCCCACCCGUGUUUAUCGUACCUUGUUGCUUCGGCGGGCCCGCCUCACGGCCGCCGGGGGGCAUCCGCCCCCGGGCCCGCGCCCGCCGAAGACACCAAUGAACUCUUGUCUGAAGAUUGCAGUCUGAGCAGAUUAGCUAAAUCAGUUAAAACUUUCAACAACGGAUCUCUUGGUUCCGGCAUCGAUGAAGAACGCAGCGAAAUGCGAUAAGUAAUGUGAAUUGCAGAAUUCAGUGAAUCAUCGAGUCUUUGAACGCACAUUGCGCCCCCUGGUAUUCCGGGGGGCAUGCCUGUCCGAGCGUCAUUGCUGCCCUCAAGCACGGCUUGNGUGUUGGGCUUCGCCCCCCGGCUCCCGGGGGGCGGGCCCGAAAGGCAGCGGCGGCACCGCGUCCGGUCCUCGAGCGUAUGGGGCUUUGUCACCCGCUCUGUAGGCCCGGCCGGCGCCCGCCGGCGACCCCAAAUCAAUCUAUCCAGGUUGACCUCGGAUCAGGUAGGGAUACCCGCUGAACUUAAGCAUAUCAAUAA